UACAGAGGGGGGCAAGCGUUGUUCGGAAUUACUGGGCGUAAAGGGCGCGUAGGCGGCCCGCUAAGUCGAACGUGAAAUCCCCGAGCUCAACCCGGGAACUGCGUCCGAUACUGGGAGGCUUGAAUCCGGGAGAGGGAUGUGGAAUUCCAGGUGUAGCGGUGAAAUGCGUAGAUAUCUGGAGGAACACCGGUGGCGAAGGCGGCAUCCUGGACCAAUAUUGACGCUGAGGAGCGAAAAGCCAGGGGAGCAAACGGG
rnacentral:rRNA from 1 species